rnacentral:rRNA from 1 species
CCUACGGGAGGCAGCAGUGAGGAAUAUUGGGCAAUGGGCGAAAGCCUGACCCAGCCACGCCGCGUGCAGGAUGACACCCCUAUGGGGCGUAAACUGCUUUUAUAUGGGAAGAACACUCCUGAUUCGUCGGGAGCUGACGGUACCAUACGAAUAAGGACCGGCUAACUCCGUGCCAGCAGCCGCGGUAAUA